GUAGUAGAAGUAAUAUCCAGGAUGAAUAGGUUUUGGCCUUUCUAGGGAGUUUUUCCUAGCAAAACCCCAAACUGCAUUGCUUGCUGUUUGGGGUUUUAGGCUGGGUUUCUGUACAGCACUUUGAGAUAUCAGCUGAUGUACGAAGGGCUAUAUAAAUAAAUUUGAUUUUGAAUAGAACAGAACAUUUUUUUUUUACAUGGUCUCUCCAGAUUUAGCGACCAAUAGUUUUUACAACAACGUUGGAUGUUUAUAUUCUGGUCAGUCUGCAGUCAGUGUCACUCAUUAUUCUUUAUUUACAGUAUAAAUAUUACAUCUAUACUUGCAUCGUCCUAUAAACUCAUAUGUAGGCUAAUAACUCGCUCUCUCUCGCUCUCCCUCUCAUCGUAUUAAUUGUCGCGCGUGCUCCAGCAUAAUUCGAGGGAGAGAGGGAAGACGACACGUUGUUGAGGGGAGAGGAGGGAAGAGAUGCUGUUGAUUUGAACCUGCGCCGCCAGAACACGGGAUAAUACAUCUAGCUGAGGAUCUACCUACCUGAACAAGGUGCUCCGUAUUGAACAGGCACCUGCCGUUCUUUGACCACCCAUCACCAUCACCACCAUGUCAAAGGACCAGUGUGAAUCCGUAGCAGUGAGCGUCGAGUCCCUCUUAACCGACGCAGUUAAGAUGCAGUCCCAGUGUCGGGAGCGUAGUGAGCAGCUAGCUGUGGCCGCCGCCGCACUGCGGGAGGAGUCGGCGUGCUUGAGAGAACAGUGUCAAGCCACCCAGCUGGACAUGGCUCAGAUGAGAAGACAGCUAGAACAACUGCUGGACAGCCAGGCUCAGAUGGAGGCCAGUGAUCGAAUGCACCGCAAACUCAGCAAGACACUCUAAAGGGAAAGGAGGGGAGAGAAGGAGAGUGAGAAAAUAAGAACGGCUGGAUAACACAGCUCCGACAGACACUCGGGAUGGUGAACUUAGCAGUUAAAAUGUAAAAAAUGUCUCCUGUUCUCUAACGCUAUCUAUCUUCUGUCCCUAAACAAUAGACUUUAUUCUUCAUAAGCAGUUAUUAUGCUUGCUAUAUAGGCCCUCAAUUCUCUUCACGGAGAUUGAAUGUUUAUGGGUCUGAAUAAAUAACUGCUAUAGUCUACCGUCAUCGGUCAUUCGCGCUUCUUUCAAACCCGCGAGUUCUAUUGGCUGCUGGAUGUAACAUUCGAGUUCUAUUGGCUGCUGGAUGUAACAUUCGAGUUCUAUUGGCUGCUGGAUGUAACAUUCGAGUUCUAUUGGCUGCUGGAUGUAACAUUCGAGUUCUAUUGGCUGCUGGAUGUAACAUUUGAGUUCUAUUGGCUGCUGGAUGUAACAUUCGAGUUCUAUUGGCUGCUGGAUGUAACAUUCGGCAGAAAAGAAGGAACCCGCGAAGAAAUGCAAAAAAUAAAAUAAUAGUACCCCAAAAAGCUAUUCUAGUUUUUCCUGCAUGGGACCAAGAGCUAAGGAGCGUUUUUUAAAGGGGAGGCGAGCGGAGGAGCUCAGGCGCUUGGGUAUUACGUAAGAGACAGAAGCUAUAAAUUAGAAGCUUAUUAGACAUAAUCCAUCAUUAAUUAACAUAUAUAUAAGGCUAUAAUAUAAUAUAAGGCUAAUACUGAAUUGAAUGUAUUACCUGAAAGAGGUAGGCUAGGACAUUAUAUAUAAAUAUAUAUAUUUAGGGCUAGGACAUCUAUAAUUAAUGUAUAUAGGGCUAGGACAUCAAUAUAUAUAGACACAGAUCCCUCAGUUCUACAUUUUACAUUUACAUUUAAGUAAUUUAGCAGACGCUCUUAUCCAGAGCGACUUACAAAUUGGUGCGUUCACCUUAAGACAUCCAGUGGAACAGCCACUUUACAAUAGUGCAUCUAAAUCUUUUAAGGGGGGGUGAGAAGGAUUACUUUAUCCUAUCCUAGGUAUUCCUGAAAGAGGUGGGGUUUCAGGUGUCUCCGGAAGGUGGCGAUUGACUCCGCUGUCCUGGCGUCGUGAGGGAGUUUGUUCCACCAUUGGGGGGCCAGAGCAGUUCUAUCUGUUUGUAGAAUCCAGCGGUACCUAUAGGUUAGCAUGACUGUAGAGUCCAGUUAAACAAUUUAAAGGCAAUGCUACCAAAUACUAAUUGAGUGUAUGUAAACUUCUGACCUACUGGGAAUGUGAUGAAAGAAAUAAAA